UAAUACGGAGGGUGCAAACGUUGCUCGGAAUCAUUGGGCGUAAAGCGUGUGUAGGCGGCCUGUUAAGUCGGGUGUGAAAGCCCCGGGCUCAACCCGGGAAGUGCAUUCGAUACUGGCAGGCUUGAGUACGGGAGAGGGUCGCGGAAUUCCCGGUGUAGAGGUGAAAUUCGUAGAUAUCGGGAGGAACACCAGUGGCGAAGGCGGCGACCUGGACCGAUACUGACGCUGAGACACGAAAGCGUGGGGAGCAAACAGGAUUAGAUACCCUGGUAGUCCACGCUGUAAACGAUGGGUGCUAGGUGUCGUGGGUAUUGACCCCUGCGGUGCCGAAGUUAACGCAUUAAGCACCCCGCCUGGGGAGUACGGCCGCAAGGCUA
rnacentral:rRNA from 1 species